rnacentral:rRNA from 1 species
UCAACCUUGGAACUGCCAUCAAAACUUUUUAGCUAGAGUGUGAUAGAGGUAAGUGGAAUUUCUAGUGUAGAGGUGAAAAUUCGUAGAUAUUAGAAAGAACACCAAAUGCGAAGGCAACUUACUGGAUCAUUACUGACGCUGAGGAACGAAAGCAUGGGUAGCGAAGAGGAUUAGAUACCCUCGUAGUCCAUGCCGUAAACGAUGUGUGUUAGACGUUGGAAAUUUAUUUUCAGUGUCGCAGCGAAAGCAUUAAACACACCGCCUGGGGAGUACGACCGCAAGGUUAAAACUCAAAUGAAUUGACGGGGACCCGCACAAGUAGUGGAGCAUGUGGUUUAAUUCGAAGAUACGCGCAGAACCUUACCAACACUUGACAUGUUCGUCGCGACUCUAAGAGAUUAGAGUUUUCGGUUCGGCCGGACGAAACACAGGUGCUGCAUGGCUGUCGUCAGCUCGUGUCGUGAGAUGUUGGGUUAAGUCCCGCAACGAGCGCAACCCUCACUUUUAGUUGCCAUCAUUUAGUUGGGCACUCUGAAAGAACUGCCAGUGAUAAGCUGGAGGAAGGUGGGGAUGACGUCAAGUCCUCAUGGCCCUUACGUGUUGGGCUACACACGUGCUACAAUGGCAUUUACAAUAGGAAGCAAGAUGGCGACAUCAAGCAAAUCCUAAAAUGUGUCUCAGUUCGGAUUGUACUCUGUAACUCGAGUGCAUGAAGCUGGAAUUGCUAGUAAUCGCGGAUCAGCGCGCCGCGGUGAAUACGUUCCCGGGUCUUGUACACACCGCCCGUCACACCAUGGAAGUUGGUUACACCUUAAGGCAAAGCUUAUACCUUUGACUACGGUACGAUCAGCAACUGGGGUGAAGUCGUAACAAGGUAACCGUA